AUUGAACGCUGGCGGCAUGCCUUACACAUGCAAGUCGAACGGCAGCGCGGGUGCUUGCACCUGGCGGCGAGUGGCGAACGGGUGAGUAAUACAUCGGAACGUGCCCUAGAGUGGGGGAUAACUAGUCGAAAGAUUAGCUAAUACCGCAUACGAUCUACGGAUGAAAGUGGGGGACCGCAAGGCCUCAUGCUCCUGGAGCGGCCGAUGUCUGAUUAGCGAGUUGGUGGGGUAAUAGCCUACCAAGGCGACGAUCAGUAGCUGGUCUGAGAGGACGACCAGCCACACUGGGACUGAGACACGGCCCAGACUCCUACGGGAGGCAGCAGUGGGGAAUUUUGGACAAUGGGGGCAACCCUGAUCCAGCAAUGCCGCGUGUGUGAAGAAGGCCUUCGGGUUGUAAAGCACUUUUGUCAGGAACGAAACGGUGGGGGCUAAUACCUCCUGCUAAUGACGGUACCUGAAGAAUAAGCACCGGCUAACUACGUGCCAGCCGCCGCAGUAA
rnacentral:rRNA from 1 species